CUGACGGCCGCGUUCGGGUCACUUGCGGACUGCAACACCCGAUCUCGCUCCGUACCACGCGCGACGUGGUGGAGGGGGAGCGCGUCACCGUCAG
rnacentral:ncRNA from 1 species